CACAGUCCAACCGCAUCAGACAUAGAAACCUUUUUUCUCCACCAUCGCCUUCGGGUGGGAAUAAACAAGAGGAAACGGGUUGAGAAGAAGAGAGGAAAAAAAAUCCAUUGAGUCCUGGGAAGAAAAUGAGAGUGGCACCUGAUGAUGUCGACUUUGACACGUGUUAAUUGCUGCUCAGCUCUCCUCAUUAGGGAGUCUCAAAUUAUUUUAGCGCUCCAGGCCACAACGCCUUGUUUGCUUUGCUGAGGAGAGGAAGCAAUCUGGCCCAAACUUCAAAUGGAUUUUUGCUCCUCUGUCAAUAUCCCAAGACAAGAAGAUAUUUAUGUGAUGCAUCCUCGGCUUCAAUCUGCUGCUGCGUCCUCACCCUUCACCCACGCAGCUCUUUGUGGCAAACAAACACAGAUUCAGCCCAGCGUCUGGGAGCGCCGGCCCUCAUCCUCUCUGCUAGAUUACUUGUUACCUGUUGGCAUGUAUUUAUAUGGCCUUGCAUGGUGAAUUAUAAAGCCUUUGUUAUUGCCCUGGCUUGGGGUCGGCCACUUGUUUAUGACACCAGUAAUGGCGGUAAUUGUUACUGUUGAGAUUACCUGUCAAGAGGACCCAGGCGGCGAGCCUGGAGAAGGCG